UUAGGGAUGUAGCUCAGUGGUAGAGCACUUUGCCUAGCAUGCAUGAGGCCCUGGGUUCAAUCCCCAAUACUAAA
rnacentral:tRNA from 1 species